AUUUAUCAUAAAUGAACCCGCGGGAAAAGUCUACUUUCAUUUUUGGCAGAGAAAUCUUGCUAUGUGGCUUUUAAAACCACUGUCAGAAUUAGGUUCAACUUUCAAUUUGCUGUCAAAUGCUGUUUAUAUCGUCGGUCGAAAGGACUGUGAGAUUCUUCUUCCUUCGGAUCAAGCUGUCAGCCGAAAGCAUGCGCAGAUUAAAGUGUCUCAUCUUGAAAAUAACAUUACAAAACCAGAUAGAACACCAGUAGCUGUUUUGACUGACCUCUCAAAAUUUGGAACAUGGCUAAAUAAUGUGAAAUUGAAUAAUGGUGAAGAAAAACUACUCAGUGAUGGAGACCAGAUCAUGUUUGGAUCGCCAAAGUCUUCUUUCUUGGUGGUUUAUGAACCCUUCAUUAUUUCCACAUCUUGUCUGGAUAAUCCAUCAAAGAAGCUGGUGCGGACACUUCUGACCUCAUUAGGGGGUCACAUGGUCAACGAGUGGAGAUCGGACUGCCAUCUGUUGGUGAUGAACAACCUCAGUGUCACUAUCAAGGUCAUCUCAGCUUUAGUUUCACAAAAGCAUAUUGUAACUCCAGCAUACCUGGAAAAUGUUGUGAAAAACAUGAAGGAGGGUGCUGCAAUGCCAGAUCCAGAUUUGUUUCUUCCAAAUAUAUCUGAAACACAGAUAAACCCUGACCAGGUUUCAUUUAAACCAGAUGUGAAGCGAGCAACAAUAUUCCAGGGAAUGAAGUUUAUAUUUCUCAGUGCUAAACAGUUCAAGAAGAUGAGUCUGACAGUGGAGAUGGGAGGGGGACUGCCCAUUCUGAUGGAUGACCCGUCCAGUGGUGACCUUGAGAUGUUGGUGGAGCCAGGGUCAGUGGUGAUGCAGAGCGACCCCUCCGACGCUUCCCAGGGGUUCUCACAGCAGAAUGUGGACUGGAUCACACAAGUCAUCAAGUACAUUAAAAAACACAAGAAGCAUUUGAUUCAGGAUGCAGAGUUGGGGUUUGCAGUUCUCCAUUGCUCAACAGAACAGCAUUGUAACCCAGAUGUGCCAUUUAUGAGUCAGAUACCGCAGCCACAGAUUCCGUCCCAGUCACUCACACAGACAGACAUACUGGCUCACAACACAGAACCAGGGGCUAGAUCACCUGUGAUUGAAAGUAGGAAUGACCCUAGUAAAAUAGAUGAGACUACAAUAGAACCACCUAGAAAUGAUAUGACAAGAACAAGAUCCUCCAAGAAUCAAUCAAAAAGGUCUAUUUCCACAGCUCCAAGGCUAAUGUCGGAAAACGAAACCAUGAAAGAAUCAAACGAACAGGAGACCCUAGAACCUAGUGCUUCAAGGAACACAGCAUUAUCUGACACAAUGGAUGGACAGUGUUUAGGAAGGCAGGUCAAGAAAGAGAAGAUUACUCCUGAUAAACGGGUUCCUUGUAGACAAAGUCCAAGAAGGUCCCCUAGUCCAGUGUCCAUGAGAGUGUCACCAAAAAGACCCACAGAAACGAAUCAUGAUUUCCAAAGUCCUGGUCCAAGUAAGUCUAGCAGAAAGUCAGACAGUCAGAGAGCUCCAGCCUCAAAAGUCAAAGUAGAACUACAGGAUGAUUCAGAUGAAUUCAGUGCAGUGUAUGAAACAGAGAAGGACAAGAAAAUUGUCAAAAAUUUGGAAAAUGAGGAGUGGUCUUCAAAACACAAAAAUACGGCCAAGAAAGAAUCUAGACUAUCUCUGAAAAAACCCAGUCCUGAUAAACCAAGUGCAUCAAAAGUGUCGUCCAGUGCAAAAGGUAGAGAGAAAAGAAAAAUUAUUGUAGAGGACUCGGAUGAAGAAGAAUUGCUUAGUUCAAAGAGGUCCAGGAAUCAACCUCAGAUACAGGAGGAUGAAGAAAAUGACUUCUUUGAAGUGAGGCCAAGUCAGUCGCGAGGGUCAAGUUCAAAAACUACCAAUAUGGAGACAAAUUUAUUUGACGUAGAAGGCUCCAAAGAAAACAAAGAAUCCAAGUCCAGAUCCUCUCCCAGAAAAAAAAGCAGGAAUUUGUCAGUGGAAGCUGGAUCUGAUGAGGACCUAUUUAAUGUAGGCCUGUCUGUGGACUCGCCUGAAAAAUCACCAAAGAAAUCAACAAAGAAUUCCCGCACAUCCCCGGAGAAGUUCAAAUCACCAGAAAAGGCAGUCUCCAACACACAAAGAGGAACCAGUAAUUCAGAAAAUGGCCAUAUUAUUGUUAAAGAGGAAAUUCAAGAGGUUAGAUAGAAUAUGUAUGAGAUUUCAUUUAAAGAGAAUUUUUUAAUUUUAAUAGGGAUUUUUUUAUGUGUUUGUUUAUUUCUACUGCAUUUACUCUGUAGCAAUAUGAAGCAGGAGAAAAUGUUCAAAACCUGAUGGUUUUCUGUGUGCUAGAGUACAGCCAGGGACUGGAGCUAUAAAGUCAGAGUAUGUAGAUGAAAAAGAUUUACCAUCAGGGUGCAUUCUGACAAAAUUUGUUGACUUGGUUACCCGACCAGUGCGACCAGCACCAACAGUUUCAGGGGAGACCACUCCUCAAGGCUACAUCAAAUGGAAAGGAAAACUAGUCAAAAACUUCAAGAAAUUCAAAAAGAAUCAGAACUGUGGGUCCAAUGGCCUUCCUCGUAUUAUUGGGGGAAGCGAUCUACAGCCACAUGUUCCUUCACAGAGGAAGGAGGUUGAGGAUUGGUUCAGAGAGGCUUUGGAGGCUGAGAGCCAACAGUCAGAGGCUGAGAGGAGAGCUCAGGAACUGUUUGAUUACGAACCAAACAAGACAGUAAAUAAAAGACGAGGCCGAUGAAUUACAUGUAGAUGUCCUUUGCAAUCUGAAUGUAGAAAUGUUAUUGUUUUACAAAUAUUUGUUCUCUAAUAAAUAGGAAAGUGCU
rnacentral:misc_RNA from 1 species